UCAGUUUCUCUGUUCCUCAUAAUUGGAGGAGGGCUAUGAUCUACUGGCCUUACAACUAAGCCAAUGGAAGGUGCCUCACUCUUGAGACCCGCCAGUGACGCAUUGAUGUUCUUAAUCUUUUGUGCCAUCUUUUGACGAAAUAAAAUGGGAUUGGAAAGCGAAAAGAAGUCAAGUACCUUCUUCUUCAUGUGGUUUUGAAUUUCUACUUUACGCCGGAGAACGUCGUAGUUGAUGUCCUCCAAGACGUCAUCGGCAUCGUGAGCUACGUCUUUCAGUUUCUUGACCCAGUUUCUGACUGCCAUGCUCCGAUCCUGUGGUUGGUGGGCAACAUCGCCUAAGUACUGUUCAAUUUCCUCUAACGAUACAGCAAGCUCAGUUGCUUCUUUUUUAAAAUCCUCGGAAAAGACAGAUUUCUUGAGCAGCAAGCGAACCGACCGACUUCAGUAUUCCCUCCACCGGAUAAGUGAUGAGACCUUGUAGCACAUCCAUACUCGCGCGAGAAAGGGAGAUUAGAGAGUAGAAAGCAGAGAACUGAGAGAAAGCCAAGGAAGGACACAAGAAGAGCGAAUAAGAUGAAUGAAAGGCUUAACAAUAAUUCAAGAAAAUGUGGUAUAAGAAGAAAGGACCCCUUAUAAUUGACGCCACUUACCUGUGAGCGUCAACAUAAUGUUCAAGAGCAAUAUUAACCCAUCUUAUCAGCAAAGAUUCUUUCUACAACUUUAGUAAAUAGUGGAGGCGGACUUUGAUUAGUCAAUAUUUAUUGGUCUUCCAUGGAUUUUUGUCAGGACUUAGUACUGGUGACUAUUCAACCCUACCCGGUCCUGUCACUUCAUCUUCUACAUGAUUUCGCGUAGGCAGUGGUAUUUACACAUUUAACUUUACUUUUCAUUCUUAAUUUUACUGAAUGAAUUGAAAAAGAAUAAUUAUACAAAAUUAACAAAAAUGUGUCAGAAAUAAAAAUGAUUGUGUGAAUAAGACUUUCACAUAAAAUGUGUUUUCUUUUACACAAUCGAGCUAGAAACUUGUCUCUUACACAUCGAAUUGACUAUGGUAAACCUAAACCUAACGACAAAAUGCGGUAGCUAUUACGAUCAAACGCUAGGAAUUCGUCUCCAACCCUACACAUAUCUGAUAAAGAGCGAUUAAAUUGGUCUUGGUUUUAGCAGUUUAUACAUACGUCAAAUCCAACGAAAUCAAACCAAACUAAUUAUAGUUUGAUUUAGUUCAACCUAAAAUUGCAUUUUUUUUUCAUUAUAAAAGUCAUACCAAACUUCUUAGAUUGAUUUUUAUACAACGAUAUAUAUACAGAGAUAAAAGUUAAAUCAAAACUUUUUGGAUUGGGGUGUAGUAUAAAUUUGUAUUGAACUCUUCAUUCAUGAAUUUCAAACUUAAGACCUAUUAUUUAUAAGUAAAGAAAAUUAUUGUUAGAUCAUAAUAUUAAAUGACACCCUCUUGGAUGGUUUAGUUUGAACAGUAUUUUCAUACAACGAUAUAUUUACGUUAAAUUGAGAUAAAAUGGACAAGAAUACUCUCCGAAUCUCUAUUUAGGAACUUCCACCACUAUCUCUGAGAGCUUAUUUAAAGAUUUUAAAGAAAUAUUUGGGUCUUUAAAAGAAUAUUGUUUUUUAUGAAAAGUUCUUAUAGUGUAAUCUUCAGAUUAAUAUAAAAACUAAAAUAUUGAAAAAUUAUUAUUCAUGGAUGAAAAAACCUAAAAAAAUAUCUCUACCCUUAGUUUUUCAACAAUUAAAAAAAAAUUACGUGAAAAACCAAAAAUGAAAAUUUCACGUGGGUGGGAAUCGUGGGAUCAACAAACAAGGUAAAAGACAAAAAACCAACUGGUGUGGGUCACUUUUCUCCAAAAUCAACAGAGGCCCACUAUACAAUUUUCACAUUUGAGAUUUUCUUUUGAAGUAUUUAGCGAGUUUUUAUCAAGGAACAAAAUGCCGAUAAUAUCGGUGAUAUUUCGCCGAUAUUAUCGGUUUUUCAGGGUACCGAUAUUUUAAUAGGUAUCCAAUGGGUUUUCGUCAAAAUAUUGCGAUAUUUCCGAAACUAUCGCGAUAUUUUGGAACUGUGCUACUCGGAGAAGAACGCCGGAGCUUCUACAGCUCCGGCCGAUUACAAACGCAAACCUUAGACUCCGAUCUAAUUACCAACGUGAAGAGGAAAGAGAGAGGAGUAAGUUUAUACCCUUGGUUCGCCGUGAAAUGGCUGAAGGUUUUCGGAAAGCUCCUUAACAGUCACGGGUUCGCCGGAGUUGGGUGAGCUUUCCCUUGACCUGAUCUCGUUCCAUAACACACACAUAAGCUUACCUAACUGGAGAAAAUGAAGAAAACUCACCGGAGGUUUCUGGGUUUCGUCAAUCUUGCAGAGACAAGAGGAAGAGAGAGAAAGACGAGGUUUUGAUGGUGAUGCCGUCUACGGAACGAUGGUGUGGGUGCCGUGUACUAGGGUAAUCAUGGGAGAAAGAGUGAGAGUGAUGAGAGGGUUUCGAGAGAGAAGAGAGUGUGCAGAGAAGGAAAGAAAGAGAAGAAGAAAGAAAGGGGGUCUCGGGUAGGAUCUGGUUGAUCUCGGUGACGAUGGUGAUGAAGCCAGAGGAGGAAGAGGAGGAGGGAAGGCGGCGGAGGGAGAAGGAGUAGGAGGAAACGAAGAGGGUUUUGCAGGGGCGGAGAUUGCGAAGAGGGAGAUGAGGGCGAUGAGGAGGAGGAGGGAUCGUUUACUCGUUCUCUCUGUCUUCUCUUCUUUCUCGUUUCAAUUGGCAAUUUAGGGAUUUAAGCAAGUUUUAGGCCCCCAAAUCAUCUACUUAUAUUGCCCUAAAAAACUCCAAGUAAUUACAACAUCGUAUUAGAAUUGUAAUUGAUCCUUGUUAGAUUUGGUUUAGAAAUUCUAUGUAAUUUAGUGAUUGUUUCAUAUUAGGUUUAGAUUUGAAUUUUUUACUCCAUUCAGAUUUUAAAGGAUUAUAAUAGAUUUAAAAAUUUAUGAAUUUUGAUGAAGUUUAAUAAUUUUUAAAACUUUUAUGUAAAAUUUUAAGUGAAUUCCCUCAAAUUUUCAGGGAGCGAUUUGAGAAUGUUUAAAAUAUUAUGUGAAAUAUUUCUAAUUUUUUCGAGUUUCCCAACUUUUUAAAAAUCUCUUCGAAUCAAUUUCUAAAUGAAUACAUUUGGAAUGUAUGAAUAUCUUAAAAAUCAUGAUCGAAUACCCAAAAAACUUUAAAGAAUCACUUAAAAUCCUGAUUAAAUACCCUUAGAUUUUUAAGGAGAAUUAAAAUGUUUAUAAGCCCCAAUUGGAUGUACCGCUUAAUUUAACUAAUUGACACAACACAACAAAACUAGUUAAGAUUACAAAUUAACACAAAAGACGACUUGAUGCGAGGUCAUAUCUAAAAAACUUGCCGCAAUAAGCCCCAAUUGGUGUGUUUAAACUUCUUUCAUUAAUUACUACAUAUUUUCUACACUCACAUGUUUGUCAGCUCGCUAUAUAAUCAACUUGAUAAUGUUAAAUCCAUCAUGCAAUGCAUUUCCUUCCAAUUUUUUGUGAUAAACUAAUAGAUAAUUGACUAAAUAAACAUCCUGCAAAGUUUUUCAAUAAAAAAUUUCCAAGUUUUUCUUACAAUUUUCGUGGUUUCCAUGUAAUUUUUAUCGAUAUCGAUAUUAUCCCGAUAUUUCCAUCGAUUUUCCGUGUUUUCGGACUACCGAUAUUUCCGAUAUUACCGAUAUUUAAUACCUUGGUUUUUAUAUAGGGAGUUUUAACGAAAAACCCACGGUACUGUUCACUUUAACGAAAAACCACAUUUUUACACUAAAAAGUCAAACCUGGUACUAUUCACUUUACCUUUUAUUUUGUCCUUAUCAUUAAAACUCAAAGUUUUCAAGCUUUUUUCAUUAGUUUUCCUUUUUAUAUAUUUGAAUAUUUUUUGACAAAAAAAAUAUUGGAAUAUUUUAAAGACUUUAUUUUCGACUCUUUAAAUACUUUUUGUCUUUAUGUUUAGAGAUUGUACUAUUAUAAAGACUUUGUUUAGAUUCUCUAUUGGAGAUGUUCAAACAUGACAAAAAGGUGAAAGUAGAGCAAGACCACAUAAAUAUAAAUUCAUCUUAUCUGUAAUCUCUUUCGACAACUUUAGAUGAUAGUGUAGACCCAACUUUAACAAAGUAAAUUAAAGAUAUUUAUUAAAAAAUAAUAACAACUUCGUUAGUACAUUCAAAAGUGUAUGUAUGAUAAGAAGAUCCUAAGUAUUCGUUUUUCAGUACUAACGAGAGUCAUCAGAUUGAAAUACCUCCAAGUAAUUGUAAACGAUUCGAAUUCACGGAACAACUAUACAAAUUCAACAUAUGUCAUUUGGUUUCCAAGUUGAUCACUACGUGUAUUUCAAUCAAGGAUGAAAAAAUCGAUAAUAUCGGCGACAUCGUUUUUUUGAAGUUCCGAAAUUUUUUUAACUAUCCAACCUAUUUUCAUCAAAAUAUCGCGAUAUUAUCGAUAAUACCAAUAAUAUCGCGAUAUUAUCGAUAAUACCAAUAAUAUCGCGAUAUUUUCGAAAUUAUCGACAAUAUCGUGAUAUUUUAUUAAAAAAAUACUUAAAUAUGUUGAGAAAACUCAACACAUAGUUAACUUGAUCAUGGCCCAAAGGCCAAACAAGUUUUGGUUAUCUCUCCAGGGAAGUGAGUUUUAUAGCAAAAAUUCAUUUCUCACUUCCUUGCAUGGGCGAUGUGGGACUCGCCCAAUGGGGGAAAAAAUCAAAAUUUCGGCCGAAAUUUUACACUCACUUUAAACGGCCAUAACUUUGUCAAAACUCAACGAAAUCAAGCAAGACAAAAACUAAAGUUGUAGCCCUCGAAGAGACUAAGAGAAUGGUACCUCACACUAUGUCUUAAUCGUAGUGGUUUGGCCGGAAAAUGCCUCGAAAGUCACUGAGGUCGCUGAGGUCGUCGGAAACUGGGUAAGAUUCAAAUGAGUAUAACUUUUUCAAUACGCAACGAAAUUGAGUGAAACAAAAAGGAAAGUUGUAGCCCUCGAAGAGACGAAGAUAAUGGUACCUCACACGAUGUCUGAAUCGUCGUGGUUUGGCCGGAAAAUUCCUCGAAAGUCACUGAGGUCGCUGAGGUCGUCGGAAACUGGGUAAGAUUCAAAUGAGUAUAAUUUUUUCAAUACGCAACGAAAUUGAGUGAAACAAAAAGGAAAGUUGUAGCCCUCGAAGAGACGAAGAGAAUGGUACCUCACACGACGUCUGACUCGUUGUGGUUUGGCCGGAAAUUGCCUCGAAAUCUACUGAGGUCGCCGGAAACUGGGUAAGAUUCAAAUGAGCUUUUUCAAUACGCAACGAAAUUGAGUGAAACAAAAAGGAAAGUUGUAGCCCUCGAAGAGACGAAGAGAUUGAUACCUUGCACGUCAGCCCAAAAUUCAAAUUGACACACUCCUAGCUUCCAAAAUUCAAUACUUUUUACUUUAUAUCAAGUUGAAAAAACAUAAUCGGCAUCCAAAUUAAAGUUUAAUCUUAUUCAAUGUAUUGAUUUUCAAUCGUUAAUUGAUAUACUAUAAUUUGGAACUUCAACGCCUAGACGCAUGCUUAUGUGUAAGAAAUUUAAAUUGUCAAAUUCGGCACAUUAUUCUUCAUCAUUUUAUUCACUUCCCUUUUUUUUUUUUUUAAUAUCCUAAAUAAAACCUCCAAAUAUUGUACUAAUUAAUUAUAUAUAAAUGAUUAUGGUGUGUUUAAACUUCUUUCAUUAAUUACUACAUAUUUUCUACACUCACAAUGUUUGCCAGCUCGGUAUAUAAUCAACUUAAAUCAGUUAAAUCCAUCAUGCAAUGCAUUUCCUUCCAAUUUUUUUGUGAGAAACUAAUAGAUAAUUGACUAAAUAAACAUCCUACAAAGUUUCAUUAAAAAUUUCCAAGUUUUUCUUACAAUUUCCGUGGUUUCCAUGUAAUUUUUAUCGAUAUCGAUAUUAUCCCGAUAUUUCCGUGUUUUCGGACUACCGAUAUUUCCGAUAUUACCGAUAUUUUCUUCCUUGCUUUCAAUAAUAUCUUGUUUAGAAUUUGUUUGGAUUUGCAGAUCCUCCAUCUUCUAACAUAGAGGAAAUUUCUCCAACACUGCCUUCCUUGUAAUUGUUGUAAUGAGAUGCGUUGUUGUUUUCAUGGGGCAGGUCCUAAUGAAUCCUAUAGCUAUUGGACCCCAUCCCACUUGUGUUUGGCAUCGGUGGCACCAUUGUGUUUGGCAAUCAAUGCAAAAUUACGUACAAUAAUUUAAGUAUCAAACAAAAUGUAAACUUCAUUUUGAACAUAUGGAGUAGGGUUUGUUGCAAGUAUAUUAUUGGAGAUCGAAUAAUGACAUGAGACUAAUAAUAAUUUCUGGUGUAAUUUGUUAAUUUUCUGAGUAUUCCACUGACUUUUUGGAAGGCUGGCUGGUGGAGGAAGCUGCUUUUAGCUUUUUAUUACUUCUUGAAACUACCCGCUUCGGAUUUGAAUUUACCAAAAGCAACUUUCAGCUGUUAACUGCAAUUUAUGCAGCUGAUAAGAGAUAUAACCCACUCUACACCUCGUAACGAAAAAAAAAACCCUUCUAUAGACACUUUGAUCACGUCAUCUAUAGAGUUAUUUAGUGUAAGAGCUUUUCUAAUACGUUGAAACUCAUUUUCAAGUGAGAGACAUCAAAUUUGACUCACAUAAAUAGUAAAUUUGAAAACAUUUUUUGUCGAAAAAAAAUAUGUUUGUUACUUAAUUGUUAUAUGUUGGAUGUCGAGUUUCUAUUAGAAAAUAUUUCUUGUAUAUAAAAGGAAAACAAUUUUAAUUUCAUUAUGUACACAUGUCAAUAUCACUGGCAAUUUGACCAAAUGGCUACUAUUUGGUGUUUUAACUGCAAAUGCAUGAAAUCAGUGAGAGAUUUUUCAAUGUGAUCGAUACACAAAAUAAUAUAUCACGUGUCACUAUAUAAAUUUUUAUGUAUGUUAAAAAGUUAAUAACUUAAAAAAUAAAAUUUCUCACAAAUUCUAUAAAAACAUGUGAUGUACCAUUCGUGUUCCGAUCACAAUGAAAAAUUUCUCGAAACCUUCACGCUUGCUUCCUCAAUCACCAACAUUGACCAUUCUCUCUUUCCCAUUAAAAAAAUUAAUAAAUAUGGCGUCAGUCAUACAAAGUCAAGCUUUCUAAACUCUUUUAUGGACAGAUGCGGAUUUUAGGGUUCAAAGCUUAACCAACGGGUAAUUCGGAUCAUUUAACUUGAUUUUAAUAGUACUAAUUAACUCAUUCUGCUGCCUCAUUUUACGCAAUCUAAAGACUUCAACGUCUUUUGGACCUAAAUUUUCUGGUCCUUAGGCUCUGAACCCUAAUGUCAGAAGGGGAACAAAUUCCUCUUUAUUAUCCAUCUGUCAAAUAUUCAACUGUUUGCUUUUAGCUCGUUGUCCUAGUUUCUAUAUUCCUCAUCCUCCUCUAGCUAGCUUUUAGAGUCCGGCAUCCGAAUCACAUGUCCAUGCGGCCCUAGACACAUUAAAGCUUCCCUACUCCAUGUAAUGACUCCACUCCCCUCUCCCUCCACCUUCAUGGCCCAACACCUUUGGGUUUCGGACAAAAUAAUUUAUACAUCUAGAGAGGUUCUUGUGUCUGAAACCCCAGCUAAGUUUAAUAGAGGAGGUGGGAUCAUAAUUUGGUGUAUCGUGGGCCACACAAUCAGGGAGAUAUACUGCUUUUUUAGUGUCCAAGUCAUAGGGAUCAGGUGGAUUGGUUGCUCUAAACUAGAAUUUUAUCCUCAAUUUGACAAAUUAACAAUGGCUAAUUGGCUAUGCCGCUCCCUCUCUAUGUUGUUAAUAGUGUCAAUAUUGUCCCGUUACAUCGAUUGAAGAAAAACCCAUAUCAGGAAUAAUAUGUAUAAACAAAAUAUGAUGCUUUAUUUGAGAAUUUAUUUGAGAAUCAUGGCCUUGGAUGAGUUUACGAUAGAUAAAUACCACAAAGUAUAGAUAGUCAAAAGUUCAAACAUUAUUGACGGAUGGUGAAUGUGAAUGAUAAUUCAAGAGUAGUGAGAAAGAUGAUUGGUAUUUAGUCUUUGGUCACUAUUAUCUUGAAAGUUGAUGACCAAAAUGACAACUGCCUCCCCUUCUUUUGGCUGCAACAGCAGAAAUAGGAUGCUUACAUGGAACCGGCAUUUGUGGAAUAUGAACAUCUGGAAAUUACUCCACUACGUAAGACAAGAUCAUCACUUUCUGUGAUUGCAGGUUGGCCAGUAAAACUCUAAACAUCAAUUUUUUUUCAUUCAACCUUUGAUAAUUAUAGUACCUGCAGACCAAAUAAAGUAAUCAUAGAUCACUCACUGCUCAUAGAUUUGUUUUUUUUUUUUAAAUCAAAAUUCUAAGAACACGAAAUAUGAACAUACUCAGGAUCGAGAUACCCUGCUGUGCUCAUGACCGAAGCCACCACGAGUUUCACUGUCACUGGGAAAAGCCAUGGACAGACCGAGAUCUGCUAUUUUUGCGUCCAAGUUUUCACUUAAGAGAAUGUUGGCAGUAUUUGCGUCUCUAUGCACAAUACGUGGAUUGCACCUUUAUGCAAGGAAAUAGUCCUGUGAGCCAAAUUUCACAAUAUACAUAAGUUGAAUUAGGCAUAUGAACUUGCGCAAGUAUAUUAGCGUACGAAAUAUCACGAAGCACCAACCUAACGCAAUAUCUAGUGUUAUCCGAAGUCUCAUUUCCCAAGUCGCAUGUGACCUUCUAUCUGCAUUUUUAGCCAUUGACGUGACACUUCAAUAUUUUGAAACCCUCUGAUGGAGGACAAUGCUUAUAAAAUAUAGAACUACACACCUGAGAGAUAUUCUUUUAGGUUUCCUUUAGGCAUGUACUCGUAUGUAAUAUGAGUACCAGGUAGUAUCAUCACAGUAUCCAAUAAAUGAGGCCAAGUUUCUAUGAUGUAUUCUCAUCACGAGCUCAACCUGCAGCAACAAGGAACACAUCAAUCUCUAACCAACGAGACAAGGCACUUGCAAUUCCAAGGAAUUUAAAUCCUAACUGCCAAACCUCUGUUUGGAACUCCCUAGCUCCUUGAGUUGACGAUGGAGAAAGUAUUUUAACCGCAACUUGAGUGCCAUCUUCCAAGUAGCCAUGGUAUACAAUCCCAAGUCCUCCUUUCCCAAUUUCAGUUUGAAAGUUUUCGGUGAUUUCUAAAACCUCGUCGUAAGUAAACUGGGACUUCAUUGAUGCUACUGGUGUGCUACAGGUGUUUUGUUAUGUUUUUCUCCAUCUGCAGCUUAAGGACAAAAAGUUAUGAGUGCAGGCUAACUGCAUAGGAAUACCACAACGCCAUAGUAGCAGCGCUGUUUCUAACUAAAUAAGUAUCAAGGGUAUAAAAUGGUACCUGGUUUUCUUAUUCUUCUCAGCUUCCAGACCAGUAAGAGCACUAUAACUUGAAGAAGGGCCAUUGUUGAAAGUAAUGAUCCAAGUAUUGUUCAAAGUAAUGAUCCAAGUAUUGGAACAACAAUGAUCUUCUUGUACUUGCUUGAAUCUGAGCUAAAAAGAACUUAUCAGCAGAUAGAAAAUAUAAAUCUGAAGGACGCAAUACCAUUCGCUUUCGUUAAAGAAAAUGCUAACCUAUUCAGCACUCUCCAUGAACGAAACUUGCACAAAGCAGUAGGACGAGGAAACCAGUUGAGAUCUUCAUCUCUCUGUCUCAUUGCAGCCUAUGAACUACCUGGUAUUUAAAAUGUGUGACAAUGUCCCGACCAAAAAAACAGAAAAACGUAUAUGACAGUGUGGAUUUGUAACCACAUGCCGCACAACUUGCAGAGUACAUACGUGAUCCUUAUUACAUGGGGAUGCUUAGUCUACGUCAAUCAAAACCUUCCCCAGAAAACUAAAUCCCUAAUAUCAGAAUUUCAAAAACCCUAACCCUUGGGAUCCUGCUGACAGCGCUGGGGCUGGGCUGACGGUGCUGGGGUGACGGCAGUGGGGUGAUGGCGGUGUGGCGACGAUGUUGCUCCAAGCGGUGGCGUGGCGACCAGACCGGUGUUCUGGGCUUCUGGGCUUCUGGCGCGCGAGAGAAGAAGAAGCAAGAAGGCAGAAGGCAGAAGGCAGAGGUAGACGAAGGCGAUCGAAUUCGAAGGUAUGGUAUGAAGACUGAAAAUCCUUACCCAAACGGCGUUGUUUUGGGUUUGGAUGGUUUUCAAAAAACAAAAAAAAGGGUAUGACAAGGCGCCUGGACGCCCUGAGGCGCGCCUCCGCCGCCUCGGCGUCUCCGGCGAAGCAUUUCGCCUACUCCAGAAAAACUGAGGCGUUUGCCUCACCGCCCAGCCUCAAAGGCGCCCUAGGCGCGCCUCGAGGCGAGUUCUUUAAAACAUUGCUUAGAACUUAUUCGAAUGCACAUUGGACGUUAUAACAUAUACAGAAUGACCACGGAUUCGUAAACAGUUGCAAAUGUACUUCUAUUUACUCAUAUUUAAGGACCAAAAAGCUUAAUUUCCACAAAAGUCUAAAGUGCUGUUCCAAAAAGAUUGUGAAAGCAAAGAAAUUAAUGUUCUUCCACGAGGCUAGAAAGUGUAUGACUUUGCAAACUAAAUGCAACUAAGACAAAAGAACAGAACCAAUCACGAAUUACUGUUUCGGGAAAGAAACCUACACUUGACUGUAUGAAAUGCGGGAAAUCUUGGGCCAGUCGAGCAGUUGCUUCUUUUAAUUUAGAACACAACAGUAAAAUUUGGACUGGCUUCCCUACUGUCGAUAGAUACUUCAGGUUCCCACAACGGUGAGCAGAUAGAUCAUCGACACAUGUAAGGUCCCAUCAUCACUCUGGUAAGACCCUUCUGAAUCAAGUGCCAUUGUUGAUAGUAAUGAUCCAAGUAUUGGAACAACAAUAUUCUUCUUGAGCUUGCUUGAAUCUGAUUUAAAAAUAACUUAUCAGCAGACAGAAAAUAUAAAUUCUGAAGGACGCAAUGCCAUUCGCUUUCGUUAAAGGAAAUGCUAACCUAUUGGGCACUCUCCAUGAACAAACUUGCAGAGAGCAGUAGGACGAGGAAACCAGUUGAGAUCUUCAUCUCUCUGUCUCAUUGCAGCCUAUGAACUACCAGGUAUUUAAAACACGUGACAAUGUCCCGACCAAAAAAACAGAAAAACGUAUGAGUGUGGACUUGUAACCUCAUGCUGCCUGCACAAUGAUCCUUAUUACAUGGGGAUGCUUAGUGUACGUCAAUCAAUGGAUAAUGCAAUGUUCAUACUAGAGCAAUUUGGUCAAGCCAACGUAUUUUCUAGUCAAAGCAUUUCAAACAAUGUUCCUGUUAGGGUUAUGUGCUGUGAUACAACUCGAAGUAUUGGACAAAAGUGAUUAAGUUGAGGACAAUAUAGAUACAUACUAGUAUGUAGCCUACACUGAUUCACUGCACAACAGAUCCCACACCCAUUUUUAGCCCACCAAGUUUUGAACAUGGGAUGAAUGAGAGUUUGUAGCUACCUAGCAUGGUGCAGUCAUGGAACCUGCAUUUGUGGAAUCUGAACAUCUGGAAAUCACUCUAGGUGUACUAUGGUAUGAUGAAAUCGUACAAAACCCAUGCUGCAGUCAUGGAACCUCCAUUUCCAAACGUUGUGUUAGUUGACACGACACAGCACAAAACCCAUGCUGCAGACCAAAAAAAAGUAAUCAUAAACCAACUGUUCUUACAUUUGUAUUCAUAACAUGAUAAAAAAUCAAAUAGAACAAGGAAAUUUGAACAUACUCUAGAUCAAGAGAACCCGCUGUGCCCAUGACUGAUGUCACCACACAAGUCCCAUUAUCACUGGAAAAAACCAUGGACAUACUGAAAUCUGCUAUUUCCACAUCCAAGUUUUCGUUGCGCUGGGAUUGCCUCCUCUCUUAAUGCAAUUCUCUUACUGGAUUCCCUUCUUAAAUAGGCUGAAAUACAAAUCCAAUUCAUCUGUGAUUAACGUAUUUUACAUAACUUGACGUGCUUUUAUUCGAGGAUGAAAGAUGGAAGAAAGAAGUUACAUAUUAACUAAACAGAUUACCUUCCAUAAAAUUGGUCUAAUAAAACUGUGUUAGUUUGGUGAACAGAUUACCCUGUACAAAAGUGUAUCUGCACCAUAACAAUCAAAUGGACCUAAGACAAGAGAACAGAACAAAUCGUUAAUGACUGUUUCGGGAAAGAAACCUACACUUGACUGUUGGAAAUGUGAGAAAGGUUGCAUUUUCUUUAAAUUUAGAACACCACAGAAAAAAUUGUACUGGCUUCCCCACUGCUGUAGAUGCUUCAGAUUCCCAACAGCUGUGAAAAGAUAGAUCGUCCACACACGAAAGGUUCUGUCAUCACUCUGGCAAGAGCCUUUUGAAUCAUCGAGUGACAAUGAUUCCGAUUCUGACUAAUAUCCCGUUUACUGCAGAAAACUAGAGUGAGUGAACAAUAUUGGACAAAAUAUACAUGAUAAUUGAUUGGAAAUAAAAAUAAGGGCUCAAAAAAUAAAAAUUACCUCGGAUAACUGGAAUGUGAGAAAUCUUUGGCCAUUCUGGGCCGUCCUUGGUGCAUCUUUCCUUGAGACGGGGACACCUUUGGAUCUCUAGCUUAUGUAAUUUGGUUAGGCAUUGCAUAGCUUCGACCGUAGGCAGAUACAUCAGAUUCUCACACCAGGAAAUUUCCAACUCUGUAAGAGAUGUAAGGUUGCCCAACCAUUCUGGAAGAGCCUCCACACCAUCGAAAGCAGAAAUGGACAAAGAUGUUAGAGAAGUAGAGUGUUGAAUUGGCCGAGGCAGAGACUUGAGCUUAGGCCACCUGUACAAUGCUAAUUCUUCCAGUUUCGAUGGGACCUGAAAAUCUGGGAAAGAAUCGAGCUCUUUGCAGAAUAAAUCGAGCUCCUUCCAGUUUUGGUGUGAUACAAGUCAGAGAGACAAUCCGAAGUAUUGGACAAAAGUGAUUAAGUCGAGGAAAUAUAGAUACAAACUAGUAUUUAGCGUACACUGAUUCACUGCACAACAGAUCCCACACCCAUUUUUAACCCACCAAGUUAUGAACAUGGUAUGAAUGAGAGAGUUUGUAGCUACCUAGCAUGGUGCUGUCAUGGAACCUGCAUUUGUGGAAUCUGAACAUCUGGAAAUCACUCUAGGUGAACUAUGGAAUGGUGAAAUCGUAACACAAGUUUCUUCAUUCAAGCCAGUUUCUUCAUUUGAGCCUUGAGUUCUUUCUGGAUGCCUGGACACCUUCAUUUCCAAACAUUGUGUUAGUUGACAUGACACAGCACAAAACCCAUGCUGCAGACCAAAAAAAGUAUUCAUAAACCACUCACUGUUCAUACAUUUGUAUUCAUAACAUGAUAAAAAAAAUCUAAUAGAACAAGGAAAUUUGAAAAUACUAUAGGUCAAGAUAACCCACUGUGCCCAUGACUGAUGUCACCACACGAGUCCCAUUAUCACUGGAAAAAACCAUGGACAUACUGAAAUCUGCUAUUUUCGCGUCCAAGUUUUCAUUGCUCUGGGAUUGCUCUCCUGUCUAACUGCAAUUCUCUUACUGGAUUCCCUUCUUAAGUGAGCUGAAAUACUAAACCAAUUUAUCUGUGAUUAACGUAUUCUAGAUAACUCGACAUGAUUUUAUUCAAGGAUGAAAGAUUGAAGAAAAAAGUUACAUAUUGACUAAACAGAUUACCUUCCACAAAAUUGGUCUCAUAAAACUGUGUUAGUUGAGAGAACCUGCACAGAGUGAGAAGAAACACAGCCUUCUACAAAAGUGUAUCUGCACCAUAACAACCAUGCACAACAAGCCUUAGAACAUAUUCGAAUGCACGUUGAAUGUCGUAAGUUAUACAGAAUGGCCACAGACUUGCAAACACUUGCAAUUUUACUUCUAAUUAGUAAUUACUAAAAGCUUAAUUUCCACAAAAGCCUAAAGUCCUACAACAACAACAACAACAACAAAGCCUUUUCCCACUAAGUGGGGUCGGCUAUAUGAAUCCUAGAACGCCAUUGCGCUCGGUUUUGUGUCAUGUCCUCCGUUAGAUCCAAGUACUCCAAGUCUUUUCUUAGAGUCUCUUCCAAAGUUUUCCUAGGUCUUCCUCUACCCCUUCGGCCCUGAACCUCUGUCCCGUAGUCACAUCUUCGAACUGGAGCGUCAGUCGGCCUUCUUUGCACAUGUCCAAAUCACCGGAGCCGAUUUUCUCUCAUCUUUCCUACAAUUCCGGCUACUCCUACUUUACCUCGGAUAUCCUCAUUCCCAAUCUUAUCCUUUCUCGUGUGCCCAUACAUCCCACGAAGCAUCCUCAUCUCCGCUACACCCAUUUUGUGUACGUGUUGAUGCUUCACCGCCCAACAUUCUGUGCCAUACAACAUCACUGGCCUUAUUGCCGUCCUAUAAAAUUUUCCCUUGAGCUUCAGUGGCCUACGACGGUCACACAACACGCCGGAUGCAUUCUUACACUUCAUCCAUCCAGCUCGUAUUCUAUGGUUGAGAUCUCCAUCUAAUUCUCCGUUCUCUUGCAAGAUAGAUCCUAGGUAGCGAAAACGGUCGCUUUUUGUGAUCUUCGCUAGAUUGCUCCGGUCAUUAGUGUGGAUAAGUAUAUAAAUGGAUAGAGAUAGGAAAGCAAACACAAGAUGUACGGGGUUCACCCAGAUUGGCUACGUCCACGGAAUAGAAGAGUUCUCAUUAAUUGUGAAGGGUUUACACAAGUACAUAGGUUCAAGCUCUCCUUUAGUGAGUACAAGUGAAUGAUUUAGUACAAAUGACAUUAGGAAAUAUUGUGGGAGAAUGAUCUCGUAAUCACGAAACUUCUAAGUAUCGGAGUGUGGUGUCGUCUUGACUUGCCUUAUCUGUCUCAUAGGUAGAUGUGGCAUCUUCUCUGGAAGUACUCUUCCUCUAUCCAAGGGUGGUAUCUUUAACUGGUGGAGAUGCACAAGGUAAUGUAUCAAUUUCACUUGAAGCUUACUUGUAGUUUCAGGCUUGGUCAAGCGCGAUACAAACCAUGUAGUACGAGUCCCCCAAGUCGCCGAGCUAGGGGGUCUGCUGAAAGAGGUGACAGACAAGGUAAGCAAUCAGAGCUCCGACUGAUUGUUCACCUUCUCCCCAUCUUGCAGCAGCAUGAAGGAUAAAGAGAAGAAAAAUGAGAAGAGAUGAUAUGAGAUACUUUUGCUUUUGAAGAAGUAACUUUCCACAGGCUUAUUCUUGAAUUGAGCUGGAGGGUUUUCUGGUUUCCUCCAGAGUAUAAGGCCGACUGAAGAAUUUGAGGGUCAAAACAAGUCCAUCAAAUCUAGAGUACAUUCCACCCUGCUGAUAUGGGAUGCUUUUGCUUUUGACAGAGUAAUGGAUGUAUCGGCACGUGUGCUGUUACGCUUGUCUCCACAUGCUUCCUUGUAUCCUUCGCACUUGCCCUAUCUGUUCCUCAAGUAGAUGCGGAAUCUUCCCUGGAAACAUAAGAUGUUGAAGAUGAGUACUCGAGAGCAAUGCCAGGUAAGUAAUCAGGUAAGGGGUUCCAGGCAGUCAGUUCCUGGCUGGAAGCUUGAUUCCAAGUGCUGACUGAUUGCUCUCUUUCUCCUUGUCUUGCAGGUAAAAACAAGGCCAAAGGAAAAGACAGGGAAAAAGCAUGAUAUGGGAUACUCUUGCUUUUAACCCUGAUGAUAUGAGAUAUUCUUGCUCUAGUAUAGCUUGUUUGCAUAGGUAUUAUCGGGGGGAAGGAAAGCUGAAUAUUUCGAAAGGCUUCGUUGGGAGUGCCCUCUCAGAUAUGAUGAAGGGUUGAGCAUUUUUGCAGGUCUGCCUGUCUGUUGGGGAUGGAGGUCGACAUAUAUAGGAGUCUCCCUAAGAAGUAGUAAUGUUAUUCCUUUACCCUGCUUGGUCAUAGCACGGUAGUGGGAGCGGCCAGUUUCACAUGUUUUAACUCUGUCAGAGCACUUUGAGAAAGUGGUCUGUGGUAUCUGGCUCUCGAGAUUCGGAGAACGAUGCCUCUUCGAUUUUUGAGAAAGCAAUCAUGCUAGGGGUCUGGCUCUCGAGAUUCGGAGAGCGGUGUCUCUUCGAUUUUUGAGAAAGUAAUCAUGUUGGGAGUUUGGCUCUCGAGAUUCGGAGGGCGGCGCCUCUUCGAUUUUGGAGCAAGCAAUCUUGUUGGGAGUGUUGUCUCGAAUGUGAGUAAAGGUUGGGCAUGUUUGUUAGUCUACCUUGCCACGAAGCACAAAGGUUGACACACAGGGAUUUUCCAAUUAUCCAGCAAUGGUACUGUUCCUUUACCCUCUCUUCGAUUUUGAGAAAGUAGUCAUGUUGGGAGUCUGGCUCUCGAGAUUCGGAGGACGGUGUCUCUUCGAUUUUGGAGCAAGCAAUCUUGUUGGGAGUGUUUUCUCGAAUGUGAGUAAAGGUUGGGCAUGUUUGCUAGUCUACCUUGCCACGAAGCACAUAGGUUGACAAACAGGGACUUUCCAAUUAUCCAGCAGUGGUACUGUUCCUUUAUCCUUGUGGGUAAUAAUAUGGUAAUAAUAUGGUAGCUAGACCUUCAAAAUUUAUGUGUCUAAACUUUGUUAGUGCUACUUCUUUGCUAUUCUUUUACCUUUCUUGGUCAGAGCGAUGUAGUGGGAGCUGCAAGCUUCACGUGCUCAACUUUGGCAGAGAACUUUGGCAAAGUUAUCUGUGGUACCCAUGAGCUAUUGUUGCGUGUGGGAAGUGGGUGAUUGAACAGUAAGAUUCAUGUGCUUUCUACUUCACCAGAAGUCUUCGACAGAAUGCCCAUAAUUUCUGCAAAGCUGAGUGUGCGUGUGACAGGUGCUGACAAGGCUAGAAAAGUAGGUGCCUCUUCGAUUUCUGAGAUCGGCCCUCGUGGUCUCUAAGCAGCCCAGCUUUUGAGAAAGCGAGCGCCUCUUCGAUUGAUUCGGAGAACGAUGCCUCAUCGAUUUUUGAGAAAGCAAUCAUGCUGGGGGUCUGGCUCUCGAAGAUUCGGGGAGCAGUGUCUCUUCGAUUUUUGAGAAAGUAAUCAUGUUGGGAGUCUGGCUCUCGAGAUUCGGAGGGCGGUGCCUCUUCGAUUUUGGAGCAAGCAAUCUUGUUGAGAGUGUUUUCUCGAAUGUGAGUAAAGGUUGGGCAUGUUUGCUAGUCUACCUUGCCACGAAGCACAGAGGUUGACACACAGGGACUUUCCAAUUAUCCAGCAGUGGUACUAUUCUUUUACCCUCUCUUCGAUUUUUAAGAAAGUAGUCAUGUUGGGAGUCUGGCUCUCGAGAUUCGGAGGACGGUGCCUCUUCGAUUUUGGAGCAAGCAAUCUUAUUGGGAGUGUUUUCUCGAAUGUGAGUAAAGGUUGGGCAUGUUUGCUAGUCUACUUUGCCACGAAGCACAGAGGUUGACACACAGGGACUUUCCAAUUAUCCAGCAGUGGUACUAUUCCUUGACCCUUGUGGGUAAUAAUAUGGUAGCUAGACCUUCAAAAUUUAUGGGUCUAAACUUUGUUAGUGCUGUUUCUUUGCUAUUCUUUUGCCUUUCUUGGUCAGAGCGAUGUAGUGGGAGCUGCAAGCUUCACGUGCUCUACUUUGGCAGAGAACUUUGGCAAAGUUAUCUGUGGUACCCAUGAGCUAUUGUUGCGUGUGGGAAGUGGGUGAUUGAACAGUAAGAUUCAUGUGCUUUCUACUUCACCAGAAGUCUUCGACAGAAUGCCCAUAAUUUCUGCAAAGCUGAGUGUGCGUGUGACAGGUGCUGACAAGGCUAGAAAAGUAGGUGCCUCUUCGAUUUCUGAGAUCGGCCCUCAUGGUCUCUAAGCAGCCCAGCUUUUGAGAAAGCGAGCGCCUCUUCGAUUGAUUCGGAGAACGAUGCCUCAUCGAUUUUUGAGAAAGCAAUCAUGCUAGGGGUCUGGCUCUCGAAGAUUCGGGGAGCAGUGUCUCUUCGAUUUUUGAGAAAGUAAUCAUGUUGGGAGUCUGGCUCUCGAGAUUCGGAGGGCGGUGCCUCUUCGAUUUUGGAGCAAGCAAUCUUGUUGAGAGUGUUUUCUCGAAUGUGAGUAAAGGUUGGGCAUGUUUGCUAGUCUACCUUGCCACGAAGCACAGAGGUUGACACACAGGGACUUUCCAAUUAUCCAGCAAUGGUACUGUUCCUUUACCCUCUCUUCGAUUUUUAAGAAAGUAGUCAUGUUGGGAGUCUGGCUCUCGAGAUUCGGAGGACGGUGCCUCUUCGAUUUUGGAGCAAGCAAUUUUAUUGGGAGUGUUUUCUCGAAUGUGAGUAAAGGUUGGGCAUGUUUGCUAGUCUACCUUGCCACGAAGCACAAAGGUUGACACACAGGGACUUUCCAAUUAUCCAGCAGUGGUACUAUUCCUUUACCCUUGUGGGUAAUAAUAUGGUAGCUAGACCUUCAAAAUUUAUGGGUCUAAACUUUGUUAGUGCUGUUUCUUUGCUAUUCUUUUACCCUUCUUGGUCAGAGCGAUGUAGUGGGAGCUGCAAGCUUCACGUGCUCAACUUUGGCAGAGAACUUUGGCAAAGUUAUCUGUGGUACCCAUGAGCUAUUGUUGCGUGUGGGAAGUGGGUGAUUGAACAGUAAGAUUCAUGUGUUUUCUACUUCCCCAGAAGUCUUCGACAGAAUGCCCAUAAUUUCCGCAAAGCUGAGUGUGCGUGUGAUAGGUGCUGACAAGGUUGGAAAAGUAGGUGCCUCUUCGAUUUCUGAGAUCGGCCCUCGUGGUCUCUGGGGAGCCCAGCUUUUGAGAAAGCGAGCGCCUCUUCGAUUUCUGAGAUCAGCCUUCGAGGUCUUUGAGCAGCCCAACUUUUGAGAAAGCAAACGCUUAUUCGAUUUCUGAGAUCAACCCUCGUGAUCUCUAAGCAGCCCAGCUUUUGAGAAAGCAAACGCCUCUUCGAUUUCUGAGCAGGCGCCUCUUCGAUUUCUGAAGCUCCGUCGAGUGCAGAUUUUUAUAGGGGCUGGCAUUAAGUUCCAAAGCACACUUGAAUCUCCACCAGUAGAAGCUUCAUUCUUGCACUUCUAAGAUCUUGAUUUGUCCGACCUCUUCUCUCUUCAACACCUUUGAAAAUGUCUGGCCCCUCCGACCGUCAUUUUGACUUGAACCUUGUUCAAGAGGCAGCCCCGCCUUCUCCAGACAACAUAUGGCGCCCAUCCUUCGUCUCCCCUACUGGUCCUCUUACCGUUGGGGAUUCCGUGAUGAAGAAUGAUGACCGCUGCGGUGGUGGCCAGGAACCUUCUCACUCCCAAAGAUAACAGACUACUUUCCAAACGGUCUGAUGAGUUAGCUGUUAAGGAUUCGCUGGCUCUCAGUGUUCAGUGUGCAGGUUAUGUGUCUAAUAUGGCCCAACGCCUAUUUGCUCGAACCCGCCAAGUUGAAUCAUUGGCGGCUGAAGUGAUGAGUCUCAAACAGGAGAUUAGAGGGCUCAAGCAUGAGAAUAAACAGUUGCACCGGCUCGCACAUGACUAUGCUACAAACAUGAAGAGGAAGCUUGACCAGAUGAAGGAAACUGAUGGUCAGGUUUUACUUGAUCAUCAGAGAUUUGUGGGUUUGUUCCAAAGGCAUUUAUUGCCUUCGUCUUCUGGGGCUGUACCGCGUAAUGAAGCUCCAAAUGAUCAACCUCUGAUGCCUCCUCCUUCUAGGGUUCUGUCCAGUACUGAGGCUCCAAAUGAUCCCCAUCCGGUGCCUGCUCUUUCUGGGGCUCUACCGACUGCUGAGACUUCUCCUAAGCAACCUUUGUGAAAGCUCCCUCUUGUGUGUUUAUUUUGACUCAUGUAUAUGUACAUAUUUAUAGUUUAUCGGAGAUAUCAAUAAAUAAGCUUUCCUUCAUUUCAACGUAUUGUGUUAAAUACACCAAAGCCUUCUUCGCUAAGUUCUUUGAAUUUUCUUUUGUUGAAGCUUGUAUGUUGAAGCUUUCUGAGUGGAGCAUGUAGGUUGGGGUAGUGUUCCCUUAAUUUUCCGAGUGAGGAAAACUUCUCGGUUGGAGACUUGGAAAAUCCAAGUCACUGAGUGGGAUCGGCUAUAUGAAUCUUAGAACGCCAUUGUGUUGGAUCCUGUGUCAUGUCCUUCGUUAGAUCCAAGUACUCUAAGUCUUUUCUUAGAGUCUCUUCCAAAGUUUUCCUAGGUCUUCCUCUACCCCUUCGGCCCUGAACCUCUGUCCCAUAGUCGCAUCUUCUAAUCGGAGCAUCAGUAGGCCUUCUGUGCACAUGUCCAAACCACCGUAACCGAUUUUCUCUCAUCUUUCCUUCAAUUUCGGCUACUCCUACUUUACCCCGGAUAUCCUCAUUCCUAAUCUUAUCCUUUCUCGUGUGCCCACACAUCCAACGAAGCAUCCUCAUCUCCGCUACACCCAUUUUGUGUACGUGUUGAUGUUUCACCGCCCAACAUUCUGUGCCAUACAGCAUCGCCGGCCUUAUUGUCGUCCUAUAAAAUUUUCCCUUGAGCUUCAGUGGCAUACGGCGGUCACAUAACACGCCGGAUGCACUCUUCCACUUCAUCCAUCCAGCUUGUAUUCUAUGGUUGAGAUCUCCAUCUAAUUCUCUGUUCUUUUGCAAGAUAGAUCCUAGGUAACGAAAACGGUCGCUCUUUGGUAUUUCUUGAUCUCCGAUCCUCACCCCUAACUCGUUUUGGCCUCCAUUUGCACUGAACUUGCACUCCAUAUAUUCUGUCUUUGAUCGGCUUAGGCGAAGACCUUUAGAUUCCAACACUUCUCUCCAAAGGUUAAGCUUUGCAUUUACCCCUUCCUGAGUUUCAUCUAUCAACACUAUAUCGUCUGCGAACAGCAUACACCAAGGAAUAUCAUCUUGAAUAUGUCCUGUUAACUCAUCCAUUACCAACGCAAAAAGGUAAGGACUUAAGGAUGAGCCUUGAUGUAAUCCUACAGUUAUGGGAAAGCUUUCGGUUUGUCCUUCAUGAGUUCUUACGGCAGUCUUUGCUCCUUCAUACAUAUCCUUUAUAGCUUGGAUAUAUGCUACUCGUACUCCUUUCUUCUCUAAAAUCCUCCAAAUAAUGUCUCUUGGGACCCUAUCAUACGCUUUUUCCAAAUCUAUAAAGACCAUGUGUAAAUCCUUUUUCCCAUCUCUAUAUCUUUCCAUCAAUCUUCGUAAGAGAUAGAUUGCCUCCAUGGUUGAGCGCCCUGGCAUGAACCCGAAUUGGUUGUCCGAAAUCCGUGUCUCUUGCCUCAAUCUAUGCUCAAUGACUCUCUCCCAGAGCUUCAUUGUAUGACUCAUUAGCUUAAUACCCUUAUAGUUCAUGCAAUUUUGUACGUCGCCCUUAUUCUUGUAGAUAGGCACCAAAGUGCUCGUUCGCCACUCAUUUGACAUCUUCUUCGUUUUCAAAAUCCUAUUGAAAAGGUCAGUGAGCCAUGUUAUACCUGUCUCUCCCAAAAGUUUCCACACUUCGAUUGGUAUAUCGUCUGGGCCUAUUGUUUUUUUAUGCUUCAUCUUCUUCAAAGCUACAACCACUUCUUCCUUCCGGAUUCGACGAUAAAAAGAGUAGUUUCUACACUCUUCUGAGUUACUCAACUCCCCUAAAGAAGCACUCAUUUCAUGUCCUUCAUUGAAGAGAUUAUGAAAAUAACCUCUCCAUCUGUCUUUAACCGCGUUCUCUGUAGCAAGAACCUUUCCAUCCUCAUCCUUGAUGCACCUCACUUGGUUUAGGUCCCUUGUCUUCUUUUCCCUUGCUCUAGAUAGUUUAUAGAUAUCCAACUCUCCUUCUUUGGUAUCUAGUCGUUUAUACAUAUCGUCGUAAGCCGCUAACUUAGCUUCUCUGACAGCUUUCUUCGCCUCUUGCUUCGCUUUUCUAUACCUUUCACCAUUUUCAUCGGUCAUCUCCUUGUAUAAGGCUUUACAACAUUCCUUCUUAGCCUUCACCUUUGUUUGUACCUCCUCAUUCCACCACCAAGAUUCCUUUUGGUGUGGGGCAAAGCCCUUGGACUCUCCUAAUACCUCUUUUGCUACUUUUCGGAUACAACUAGCCAUGGAAUCCCACAUUUGGCUAGCUUCCCCCUCUCUAUCCCACACACAUUGGGUGAUUACCUUCUCUUUGAAAAAUGGCUUGUUUUUCUUCUUUUAGAUUCCACCAUCUAGUCCUUGGGCACUUCCAAGUCUUGUUCUUUUGUCUUACUCUUUUGAUAUGUACAUCCAUCACCAACAAGCGAUGUUGAUUAGCCACGCUCUCUCCUGGUAUAACUUUGCAAUCCUUACAAGUUAUACGAUCCCCUUUCCUCAUUAGAAGAAAAUCUAUUUGUGUUUUUGACGACCCACUCUUGUAGGUGAUCACAUGUUCUUCUCUCUUCUUAAAGAAGGUGUUGGCUAAGAAGAGAUCAUAUGCCAUUGCAAAAUCCAAGAUAGCUUCCCCAUCCUCGUUUCUCUCCCCAAAACCAUGGCCACCAUGAAAACCUCCAUAGUUGCCUGUCUCCCUGCCCACGUGUCCAUUUAAAUCUCCUCCUAUAAAUAACUUCUCCGUCUGAGCAAUUCCUUGCACCAAGUCUCCAAGAUCUUCCCAAAAUUUCUCCUUCGAACUCGUAUCCAACCCUACUUGAGGUGCGUACGCACUAAUCACAUUGAUAAGUUCUUGUCCUAUUACAAUCUUGAUUGCCAUGAUUCUAUCUCCUACCCUCUUGACAUCUACAACAUCUUGUACCAAGGUCUUGUCCACGAUGAUGCCAACACCGUUUCUCGUUCUAUUUGUGCCCGAAUACCAAAGUUUAAACCCUGAGUUUUCUAGAUCCUUUGCCUUACUACCAACCCACUUAGUUUCUUGUAGGCACAUAAUAUUUAUCCUUCUCCUCACCAUCCUUACUACCAACCCACUUAGUUUCUUGUAGGCACAUAAUAUUUAUCCUUCUCCUCACCAUAACUUCCACUACUUCCAUAGAUUUUCCCGUUAAGGUUCCUAUAUUCCACGUUCCUAAACGCAUUUUGCUCUCUUGAACUCUACCCUUCUGUCCUAGCUUCUUCAGGGUCUGGGAGAGGUGAAUGUCGGCUAGCCUUACCCCCAUUUUAUGGAGAGCCUGCUCCCAAGUCUCGAACCCGAGACCUACCGCUCAUGGGCGAAGGCACUUGCCAUCGCACCAAGUGCGACCAGAGUGAGUAAACAAUAUUGAACCAAAUACACAUGAAUAAUUGAUUGGAGAUAAAAAUAAAAAUUACCUCUGAUAUCUGGAAUAUGAUAAAUCUUUGGCCAUUCUGGGCCACUGUUCUUGGCGCAUCUUUCUGCCAGACGUUGGUGAUUGGUAUUUAGUCUUUGGUUACUAUUAUCUUUAGUAAAUGGAGUAGACUUGUACUUGAAAGUUGAUGACCAAAUUGACAACUGCCUCCUCUUCAUUUGGCUGCAAUGAAAUCCUAACUAGCUACCCAGCAAAUGGUGUUGUCAUGGAACCUGCAUUUGUGGAAUAUGAACAUCUGGAAUUCACUCAAGGUGAAUUAUGGUAUGGUGAAAUCGUAACAUGAGUUUCUUCAUUUGAGCCUGGAGUUCCUUCUCGAUGCCUAGACACCUCCAUUUCCAGAAAUUGUGUUAGUUGGCACAUCACAAAACUCAUGGUGGCUCUAUGUUGGGAGGUAUGCAAAGCUGCCUCUGAUGCUUUCCAGACCGAAUUCACAUUGAACUCUCCUCGAAGCCCUUGAUCCAAAAUAGUUGUUCAAUUCCCGUUCUGGAACUCAAGAUUCACCUACUCCACUAUGUGGACAAGAUCAUCAUUUUCUAUGAUUGCAGGUUGGCUAGUAAAACCCUAAACAUCAAUUUUUUUUUUCCUUCAACCUUGCUAAUUAUAGUAUCUGCAGACCAAAUAAAGUAAUCAUAGAUCACUCACUGCUCAUAGAAUUCACAUUGAACUCUCCUCGAAGCCUUUGAUCCUAAAUAGUUGUUCAAUUCCCGUUCUGGAACUCAAGAUUCACCCGCUCCACUAUGUGGACAAGAUCAUCAUUUUCUAUGAUUGCAGGUUGGCCAGUAAAACCCUAAACAUCAAUUUUUUUUUCCUUCAACCUUGCUAAUUAUAGUAUCUGCAGACCAAAUAAAGUAAUCAAAGAUCACUCACUGCUCAUAGAUUUUUUUUUUUUUUUAACAUGAUCAAAAUUCUAAGAACAGUAGAACACGAAAUCUGAACAUGCUCGGAAUCAAGAUACCUUGCUGUGCCCAUGAACGAUGCCACCAGAGUCUCAUUGUCACUGGGAAAAACCAUGGACAGACCAAAAUCUGCUAUUUUGCAUCCAAGUUUUAAUUCAGGAGAAUGUUGGCAGUCUUUACAUCUCUAUGCACAAUACUGGAUUGUGAAUAUAUAGUAGCACAAAAAAUAACACUAAGCACCUAUCUAACGCAAUAUCUAAUGCCAUCCAAAGUCUCAUUUCCCAAGUUUAUGUGAGCUCCUAUCUGCUUCUGCAACCAUUAACGUGACACUUCAAUAUUUUGAAACCCUCUGUUGGAGGACAAUGCUAUGUAAAAUAUAGAAUUACAUACCUGAUCAGAGAUAUUCUUUUAGGUUUUCAUUAGGCAUGUACUUGUAUAUAAGUGCCAACUUGUCAGUAUCACACAGUAUCCAAUAAACGAGGCCAAGUUUCUAUGAUGGAUUCUCAUCGGGAGCUCAACCUGCAGCCACAAGGAACUCAUCAAUCUCUAACCAAAGAGACAAGGCAUUUAACUUGCAUCCAAGGAAUUAAAUUCAAACUGUCAAACCUCUGUUUGGAACUCCCUAGCUGAGCUAGCUCCUUGAGAUGACGAUGUAGAACCACAACUUGAGUGCCAUAUUUCAACUAGCCAUGGUAUACAAUCCCAAAUCCUCCUUUCCCGAUUUCCGUUUUAAAGAUUUCGGUGAUUUCUAAAACCUCGUCAUAAGUGAACUAGGACUUCUGAUGCUACAGGAGUUUUGUUACGUGUUUCUCCAUCUGCAGCUCAAGUAGACAAAAAGAUAUGAGUUCAGACUAACUGGUUAGGAAUACCACUACACCAUAGUAGGAGCGCCGGUUCUAAUUGAAUUAAGUAUCAAAAAGAUAUGAGUUCAGACUAACUGGUUAGGAAUACCACAACACCAUUUGCUUUGGUUAAAGAAAAUGCUAACCUAUUCGGUGCUCUCCAUGAAUGAAACUUGCACAGAGCAGUAGGACAAGGAAAUCAAUUGAGAUCAUCUUCUCUCUUUGUCUCACUGCAGCCUAUGAACUACCUGGUAUUUAUUAUGCGUGACAAUGUUCUGACCAAAAAAGCAGAAAAACGUAUAUGACAGUGUGGAUUUGUACCUUAUGCUGCACAACUUUACAUGAAAUCAUUCUAGGUGAAAUCGUAAUAUGAGUUUCUUCAUUUUAGACUGGAGUUCUUUGUUGAUGCGUAGACACCUCUAUUCCAUACAUUGUGUUAGUUGGCACAGCACAAAACCCAUGGUGGCUCUAUGUUGGCAGGUGAUAGUUGUGCAUGCCAUUGCUGUCUCUAAAGCUUUCCAGACUGAAUUCACAUCGAACUCUCCUCGAAUCAUUCGAUACAAAAUAGUUGUUAAAUCCCAUUCUGGAACUCAGGGUUCACCCACUGCACUAUGUGGACAAAAUCAUCACUUUCUAUGAUUGCAGGUUGGCCAGUAAAACAGUAAAAAUCAAUUUUUUUAAUGCAACCCUUGAUAACUAUAGUACCUGCAGACCAAAAAAUGUAAUCACAAAUAAACCACUCACUGUUCAUACAUUUGUGUUUAUAACAUGAUAAAAAAUCUAAUAGCACAUGGAAAUUUGAACAUACUCUUGAUCAAGAUAACCUGCUCUGCCCAUGACCGAUGUCACCACACAAGUCUCAUUAUCACUGGAAAAAAAACCAUGGACAGACCGAAAUCUGCUAUUUUGUGCAUCUAAGUUUCCGUUAUGCUGUGCUUGCUCUCCCCUCCUAAUGCAAUUCUCUUACUGGAAUCCCUUCUUAAGUGAGCUGAAAUACAAAUCCAAUUUUAUCUGUGAUUAAUGUAUUCUAGAUAACUUGACAUGGUUUCAUUCAAGGAUGAAUGCUUUGAACAAAGAAGUUACAUAUUGACAAAACAGAUUACCUUCCAUAAAAUUGGUCUAAUAAAACUCUGUGAGUUGAGAGGACGUGCACACAGUGAGAAGAAGCACAACCUUGUACAAAAGUGCAUCUGCACCAUAACAAGUAAAAACCAUGCGCAACAUGCCUUAGAACAUAUUUGCAAACCAAAUGGAACUAAGACAAGAGAAGAGAACAAAUCAUGAAUUACAGUUUCGGGAAAGAAACCUACACUUGACUGUGGGAAAUGCGAGAAAUCUUGGGCUUGUUUGAAUUUAGAACGCAAUAGUAAAAUUUGGAUUGGCUUCCCUACUGCAGAUAGAUAGUUGAGAUUCCCACAACGGUGAAUAGAUAGAUGGUGGAUUCAUGAAAGGUUCCGUCAUCACUCUGGUAAGAGCCUUUUCAAUCAUCAAGUGACAAUCAUCUAAUUCUGCAGAAAACGAGAGUGGAUGAAGAAUUUUGAACAAAAUAUACAUGGAUAAUUGAUUGGCCCCAAAAAUAAAACUUACCUCAGAUCUGGAAUGUGAUAAAUCUUUGGCCAUUCUGGGCCGCUGGCCAAAAAUAAAUCUUUGGCGCAUCUUUCUGCCAGACGGGGACACCCAUGAAUCACUAGAUUAUGUAAUUUGGUUAGGCGUUGCGUAGCUUCGACCGUAGGCAGAUACAUCAGGUCCUUGCAGUACCAAAUUCCCAACUUAGUAAGAGAUGUGAGGUUGCCCAACCACUCUGGAAGAGCCUCCAGACCAUCGAAAUCCCAAAUUUCCAACUUAGUUAGAGAAGCAGAGUGUUGAAUUUGCUGAGGCAGAGACUUGAGCUUAGGCCACCCCUUCAAUUUUAAUUCUUCAAGUUUCGAUGGGACCUGAAAAUCAGGGAAAGAAUCGAGCUCUUGGCAGAAGGCACCGAUCGACAACACUUCCAAACGAGAUAGAGAGUGCAGCCCCUUGGGCAAAUAUUGUAAUUUCCCACAAUUACAUAAUUCCAAACGAGAUAGAGAUUGCAAGCUGGACACAUUGUGAUCCGCCAGAGAUAUCAAAUUGGAGCAAUUACUGACCCUUAAUUCGGUAAGAGAUGUGCAGUAUGCAAGCCCACUCGGUAGACUUAUUAAUCCAUCACAUCGAUAAAUAAUGAACUCAGUGAGGGACGUGAGGUUGUCUAAACUGGGAAUAGCCUCUAGAUUAGGGCAUUCACUGACGCACAAACAGGUAAGAGAUGUGCAGUAUGCAAGCCCACUCGGUAGACUUAUUAAUCCAUCACAUCUCCUAAUUUCUAAAUUAGUGAGGGACGUGAGGUUGUCUAAACUGGGAAUAGCCUCUAGAUUAGGACAAUCCCGUAUUUCCAUCUUCUCAAGAGAGACGGGGGUUUGUAGCCCAUGACCCGACAAAGUCCUCAAAUUUCGACAAUCCCGGAUACACAGUGUGCGAAGACUAGUACAGGAAGGGAGCCCACUCAGUAUACUUGUGAAUCCAUCACAUUCCCAAAUAAUCAAAUCAGUGAGGGACGUGAGGUUGUCUAAACUGGGAAUAUCCUCUAGAUUACAGCAAUAGCUGACAUCCAAACGGGUAAGAGAUGUGCAGUAUGCAAGCCCACUCGAAAGACUUAUUAAUCCAUCACAUCCCCUAAUAAUCAACUCAGUGAGGGACGUGAGGUUGUCUAAACUGGGAAUAUCCUCUAGAUUACAGCAAUAGCUGACAUCCAAAUGGGUAAGAGAUGUGCAGUAUGCAAGCCCACUCGAAAGACUUAUUAAUCCACCACAUCCCCUAAUAAUCAACUCAGUGAGGGACGUGAGGUUGUCUAAACUGGGAAUAGCCUUUAGAUUAGGGCAAUCCCAUAUUUCCAUCUUCUCAAGAGAGACGGGGGUUUGUAGCCCAUGACCUGACAAAGUCCUCAAAUUUGGACAAUGCCGAAUACUUAGUGUGCGAAGACUGGUACAAGAAUGGAGCCCACUCAGUAUACUUGUAAAUCCAUUGCAAUUUUCAAUAAACAAAUCACGGAGGGAUGUGCAACCGUUUAAAGACAACUCCUCCACCUGCUGUUGUUGUUGUAGGUUUUCCGACUCCUCAAGAGACGUACAUUUUUUAAUAACCAAUUUGCAGAGUGAGGGCAGACUGUGAAUUGAAGUGCAUCUUAGCUUUGGGCAACCAACUAUUUUGAACUCCUGAAGAGAUUGGGAUGGUGAAAUUUGGAAGGAUUCUAGAUUGCUGCAAUCCUCAAUUUCCACCGUCUCAAGUGAUGGGCAAUAUUCUAACCCACAACACAAGCUCGAAAAUUUCUCACAGCUCAUAAUUCUCAAUUUACGGAGGGAUGUGCAACCGUUUAAAGACAAGUCCUCCACCUGCUGAUGUUGUUGUAGGUUUUCCGACUCCUUAAGAGACGUACAUUUUUCAAUAACCAAUUUGCGGAGUGAAGGCAGACUGUGAAUUGAAGUGCAUCUUAGCUUUGGGCAACCAACUAUUUUCAACUCCUGAAGAGAUUGGGAUGGUGAAAUUUGGAAGGAUUCUAGAUUGCUGCAAUCCUUAAUUUCCACCGUCUCAAGUGAUGGGCAAUAUUCUAACCCACAACACAAGCUCGACAAUUUCUCACAGCUCAUAAUUCUCAAUUGACGGAGAUUGGUUACUUGACAAUUUCUCAUCAUCCAAGAUGCAAAUUUAGUACCCUUGAAUUCCUCAAUCGUCAAGCUUUUUAAGUUGGGGUGUGGUUGAAGCCCUUCAAGAAUAUCCUCGUCAAGAAAAUUGCCAUUUCUUUCUUUCCCCCAUUUUAAUAUCAAUUUUUGUAAGUAUGCUUUUUCCACUAAUUUUGAUUUCAUUGCUUCUUCCUUGUCUCUCACAUAUUCCAAUGCUCCAAUAACUAGUUUCCCUUUCAAUUCAUUUAACCCGCCCAGCUCAUCAAGUCUAUGACGCCUAUCUUCAUCCAAAUUAAAGGAAGGUAGCGUUUGAAGAUGAGUCAAUCUUGUCAUCCCAAAUGGAACUUCCACAUUAUUGUCGAAAUAAACAUGUCUCAAGUUGAUCAAAUUUUCCAUUUCCCUAGGAAACGUUUUAAGAGCCCACAUCCUUGACAUUCUUAACGUUUGAAGAUUAUACAGCUUGCCAACAGAUUUAGGGAGUUCUUUCAUUUCUGUCUCGGAAAUGUUGAGAUACCUCAAGCGUUUCAACUUUCCAAUUGAACUGGGCAACUCCUCUAUUUCAACACGGAAUAAAUUCAACGUUCGUAAAGCUCUAAACUUUUGGAAGAUGUUACUGAACUCAAAGCGUCGUGGAGGAAACAACGACCGCAAUCUCCUUUGUGGAAAUCUGUCGAGUGUUGUGGAAGAAAUUCGGGCAACAUGUUGAAUCUCAUCAAGUGCUCCAACAUCCAUCUGAUCCAAGUCUCGUGUCAAGCUUUCAAAUUUGAAUACUUUCUCAGCAAGAUCAUGCACAAGAUCGUGCAUCGUGCAUAUGGUAUACCCAUGGUCAUCUUCUCUUUCUCUUCUAUGUGCAUACUCAUGGUUUCUAGCAUCUUGAAAUAAAGAGUUUUGCAAUAGAAUAUUAAAAUGUUCAUUACCUUUAUCCUCCAUGGGAGAAGAAUGGAGAUAUCCUUGAGCCAUCCAAAGUUGGACCAAGUCAUCUUUGUCAAUUUCACAAUCUUUUUCAAACAUUGAGCAAUAUGCAAAACAUUGCUUCAAUGAUGGCUCUCUUAAAUUAUCAAAACUCAACUUCAAGAUCGACAUGAUUUGGUCAUCUCCAUCUCGUAAUUCCCAUAUUUUACUUUCUAGAAUUGACGACCAUUCCUGUGAACGCAUCAAGCUUCCUAAAACCUGUUGAUACAUAAGAUAAUUAGUUUCUAUAUGUUUUACAAUAUAAAAAGCUCAUUAGCAAAAUAAUAACAGUGCCAAAUUAUAGUUUUAUUGAAUUUUGACUAUAGUUAUUGGCAAGAUAAAGACGCAUUGAACUCAACUUUGUUUUGUAUCGAUGAAUAGUCAAAGACUGCUCUUGUUAGAAGAGAAAUACAAAAGGGACUUUCUAGCCAAGUAAGAAUUGGUCUCAGAAUUAAUUGAAAGAUACUUUAUUAGAUCAGUUAAAUAUAAGUUUUAAUUUUUUAGUACCUCAAUAUAUUUUUACACUAAAGGGAUGGAGAGUUCGGCUAAACUACACAACAGACAAUUUAAUUUGGUAUCGAAUUCGUCAUCCACAAGAUUUGAACCUAAGGUCUCUUACUUCCAAGUGAAGAGGAAUACUUGAUACUGUAGUACUAAGAGGCUAUAAGUGUCAAUUAGAUACUUAAGAUAACUGAGUAAUUGAAUGGUUCGUAACAAUGCACUAGGAAGGUAGUAUUUUGAAGGAGUGCUUUGAUCCACAUUUUCUAGAGUGUUUACAUGUAUAUAUAAGGUUAAGAUUCAGAGACACUCAUUUUUGAAACAUAUUUUAACAUAAGUUUUCGUGGCUUUCAUUCUGUAAUUUUUUUUUCAAGGAUCUCAAUCAUUUAUAUUUCAAUUAAUCAUUCAUAGAUCUUUCGUGUAAAAAAUUAGACAAUUCCAAACUCAUUUUGACAUUUAUUUGUAGUGAAGAAAAAAGCCGCUACAAUUCUACAAAGAUACACUAAAUUUACGCAGUCGUGCGAUAAGUGAACUAUUCUUUCGCCUUUUACUAAAGAAACACUAAAUUUGAUCCAAUGGUCAUAUGACUUCAGAUUUGGAUGAUUUUUUUUUAUAUAGAUGAUAUUUUAGGGAAGACGUAAAAUAUAAGAUGGUUAGAUCGUUGAAAUACAUUACACACACACAAUAUAUAUAUAGGCCCCCUAAGGGAAGGGAUCCUUUUUUUUUUAAAAAAAAUGGACACUCUUUUGACUGUUAGAUUUAGCUUUAAUGAAAUUAUGUGGUUGAGAUUAAAUCACAGGCCACAGAAUUUCAUUAAAGCCAAAUCUAAUGGUCAAGAGGGUGUCCCCAUUUUUUAAAACUUACAAGAAAUGUGAACUACGAAUGACUUGAGAAAUUUUAAAACUUACAAGAAAUGUGAACUACGAAUGACUUAAUCUCGUCUUUGAGUACAUGAGACAUAAAGGUUAGAUGCAUCCAUGUGAUAAAAGAGAAGUUACUACGUUAUUGACCUGUUGGUUUGUUUUUUGCCAUGUCUUAGAAAUGAGACAUGACAGUUAGGUAGGUACAUUCUAAAGUCACAUGUCGGUCCUGUAGAAAUCUCCGAAUGGGAUUCUACUAAGUACAAAUUCUUUAUAGAGGAAGCUAGCAAUGUACGUCUUGGACACAUUCCUAUUGCGACCCAUUUUUGUGUGUAAUUAAUGUCGCAUAUUACAAACUUAUUUCUAAACCACUCAUUCAUCGUUCAAGACCCAAGAAGUUUUUAUUCCCAUUCGAUUGAUUGAUUUAACAUGGGAUAUGGGAUAGAUGUUAUAGAAACCAACCACUUGAAUCAUAUUUUACAGAUCACAUGAUGUGUUAGCUCAUGGUUGGAUUCAUUCUUUAAAGAGUGGUGAUAUUCCCACCCCGGUGUCUUAUUUCCCCACCCACCAUUUAAUGAAAAUGUUAAUAACAUAUUUAUCCUUUUAAAAGAAGACUCUUAAACCCCUAUUUAAUUCAGUAAUAAAAUCUUGAAAAAACAAAAAAUAAUUUAAAAUAAUAAAUAAAUAAUGGUAGAUGGGGUGUGAUAUCUUUGGUGGAAAGAGGUUGGGAAAGAUUUGGGUUAGAAUCGACGGAAAGGUUGGAGGAAUGAAUGGGCGUGUGCUAGACGAAGGCGAGAAACUUCAAUGGACAAAAAAGAGAAUUGAGUGUGAGAUCUGCGGUUUUGACAAAAUAGGAGGAAGAAGAGUGGUUUGGGGGUCCGAGGUCUCUGCAGGACGACGAUAGGUGUGAAGGAGAUGAUGAAUGUCUAGGUCUUAGGUCUUGCAUUUUCUUUCAUUUUUUUCUAUUUUUAUUUAUUUAUUUAUAAUAUUAUUUAAAAAUAUAUUAGAGUUAUUUAAAAAAAUAUAUUAUGGUUAUUUUGGGAAUAAUGGUGGGUGGGGAAAUAACAUUUUACUUUUUUAAUUUUUUUAUGAUGGGUGGGAUUAUCAUGUGGGUGGGAAAAUAGGACAUUAGGGUGGGUCUAAUAACACUCUUCUUUAAAUCAUUAAAUAAACAAUCCAACCAUCAAUCGCUACAUCAUAGGAUCUAAAUACGGUCUCCUACUACCUAUCUUAAAUUGCAACAAAACUUGAUACGGAAAACAGUUUGUUUUAUAAUCGUUAUCGAUUAGCAUCAUCUUUCUCUAUGAUUAAAACAGUUCGGCUUUAAUGACACUAGGACCAAAUCUUAAAAUCGUUAUCAAUUAGCAUCAUCUUUCUCCUGAACCCCAAUCAUCAAGAAAAUAGUGGUAAUUACUGUUAGAUCUUAAUCCAACAAUAUAAAAAGGGAACUAUUAUCUGCACUCCACAAAUUUCAUUAUACACUCCUCACAAGUGUAUUUUUCUUUUUAAUUAUAAAAAACUUGGAGUGCAAAAUGAGAUUUUUGGAAUGAUAAUAACAAUUCCCUAUAAAAAAAAUCACAACAAAAAAAUGAACUAAGCACUAAUAGUUAGUUUAAGAUCGAACGGCGGAUGACCAUGCAUGGUCACUAGGCUCUUGGAGAACAAUUAUAUUGGGUUUGAUAUGGUCUCUUCUGUUUGUGGUUAAUUCGCUAUUCAAUCGUAUUGACUUCAAACCUCUGUCGCUCAGAGAAAUAGAGGAAAGAAAUCGAGCAAAAUUUCAAAGCCAAUUCUAUGUUUGUCUCCUCUAAGAAAUUUAUAGUAAUAUUGUUGAUGUAAUUAAAUUACUCCAUAUUUGUAUAGUUUAUAAUUUAACAUUUGUUUAUACGACUGUAUGCAUAACGUUUUUCUAUUCCUCACCCUUUUCUUUUCCUUUUUGUUUUUACUUUCUUUUCGUCUUCUUUCUCCUUCGUUUUGUUCUAAAACAUUUUCUUGAUUAGAAUUUAUUGCAUCAUGAAAUCUUCUUCAUUUUUUUGUGGUUUGCUAGUUAUCUUUUUAGUUUUUUACCUCACGCAUCAUCUAUUUUGUAUUUUAUUCAAUUUUUUCCUCAUGGAUUAUCUACCUGUGAUGUAGGUCUCCUAAUUUUUUUUCUUUUAUGGAAGGUUUCCUCUACUUAGCAUGUUAUUUAUCUACCUAUAACACAUGAUUUUUUUAAAGGAGACUUUGGAUGUGGUCCUUAGUUAUGAAUAUUCUUUGAUUGAAAUCUUGUUGGUUUUUAAUUUUUGAUCGAGAUCAUUGAAAUUAAUGUGAUAAUUUAUUUCUUUUUACGUUACUAUAUUAUUUUAAAUUAUAAAUUAGAAAUUUUAGUUGUUUAUAUAAAUGAGAUUUUAAAUAAAUAAAAAACAUAAUUUGUGGGAUUAAAAAUAUAAAUAUACUAUUGUGUGUGUGUAUACAUGGGUUCAUUCAUCAAAAUUAACCAAAAACUUUAUUGUAUCAAAACAUGGGUACAUUCUUCAAAAAUCACAAAAAAAAAGAUAUUAGUUUAAUAACAUUAGUAAAUUUCUUCGAUUAAACUUGACAUGGAUACAUUUUAAAAUCAAAGAAAAAAGAAUAUACCCAUAUAAGUUUAAAAAUGGAUUAGAAAAAAAAUUGAAUAGAUUUUAUAUAAAAAAAGGGUACAUUUUACAUAUAAAAAUUGGUAUAUUUAAGAAUGAGUACAUUUUAAGAUUAAAAAGUUUUACAUGAAUGGGUACAUAUAAUUAGCAUUGGUACAUUUAGCAAAAUAAAAAGUACAAAUAAAAAUAUAUAUAUGGGUACAAAUACAAAUAAACUUUAAAAAAUAUGGGUACAAAAAGAAAUUAAUAUAUGGGUACAAAUUAAAACUGAAAAGAAAAUUGGUACAAGUUAAAAAAAAUUACAACUUAAAAAUGGUAACAAACUAAAACUAAAAAUAUAUGAUAAAAAAUUUAGUCAUAAAUAUAAAUAUACUAAUUGUAACAUUUUUAACAAUAAAUGAAUAUAUUUAGAAAUAAAAAAAUAUUUUAUUAUUGAAAUAAUUAAUGAUGUUAUUAAUACCCAAAAACCUUUAAAAUUUUGAAAAUGAAUAGGAUUUUAAUCAAUAAAGUGGCAAAAUGAAAGAUGAAAAUCUAAUUUCUUUUUUUUUUUUUAAUCUACUUCUGUCACAGACUCACAGGUUUCCUAGAUAAAUGUAUGUUUGAAUUUGGAUAAAUAAUUAAAAUUUAAAAUUAUGUAACUAAUGCAUUAUUUAGGAGUUCAAUUAUCUGCUAUUUUUUUAAGGUGAAAUAGGAGUAAAAAGUAGUAGUUCCAACAAAAAAACAUAAUUGGACUCCCUAAAAUGCAGCCUAUGAUUUCGGGCUUCUAUCUAAAAACCCUAAUAUAAUAAUAUAUGAAUGCAUACCUUUGCCGCCAAUGGUAGACCAGCACACUUUUUAGCUAUGGCCCUUCCAAUGCACUCUUUAUCUGAAUCUAGAGAAGAUGGUAGUGCUUCACCCUUUAAUACAGACCAACAAUCCUCCUCCGAUAGGCCCUCCAAAUCACACCUCGGCAUUGUCUCAAUGAUUGGCAUUGUCUCAAAGAUUGAUGCAACAUUAGCACUACGGGUAGUAACAAUGGCAAUGCUUCCGGGACCAGAAUUGAGUUUCGACAAACAAUCCAUAAACUCCCUCCAAAAAUUCAUCUCUUCGUUCCAAACAUCAUCGAUUAUCAGAAUAUACCUAUUGUCUUUCAACUUUUCUGCGAGCUCCUUCAGCAAUGCUUCCCGAGCUGUAAGUCCUGCCUUCGUUGGGUCAAGGGAUUCUAACAUCCGAUUUAGAAUCGAAUUAACCUCAAAAGUGUCGGAUACACACACCCAUAUUUUUCAACAAAAGGCGUACAAAUAGCAUCAUCAUUGAAUAUUGAUUUUGCCAAAGUCGUCUUUCCGAGUCCUCCGAUUCCCACAACGGUCAUAACCGAAAGGUUCUUUUCCUGAGUCUUGGACAUCAAGAUUUUAAUGAUAUCCGACACAAUUUCCUCCCUUCCAAUGAUCUUGUCAUUCUGACAGAAUCUCGAGUCAGUUUCUCUGUUCCUCAUAAUUGGAGGAGGGGUAUGAUCUACUGGCCUUACAGCUAAGCCAAUGGAAGGUGCCUCACUCUUGAGACCCGCCAGGGACGCAUUGAUGUUCUUAAUCUUGUGUGCCAUCUUUUGACGAAAUAAAAUGGGAUUGGAGGGCGAAAAGAAGUUAAGUACCUUCUUCUUCAUGUGGUUUUCAAUUUCUACUUUACGCCGGAGAACUUCGUAGUUGAUGUCCUCCAAGACGUCAUCAGCAUCAUGAGCCACGUCUUUCAGUUUCUUGACCCAGUUUCUGACUGCCACGCUCCGAUCCUGUGGUUUGUGGGCAACAUCGCCUAAGUACUCUUGAAUCUCAAGUGACGAUUGACGAAGCUUAGUUAGCUCUUUAUUGAAUCCUCGGAAAAGACCAAUUUCUUGAGCAGCAAGUGAACCGACCGACUUCAGUAUUCCCUCCACCGGAUAAGUGAUGAUACCUUGUAGCACAUCCAUACUCGCGCGACAAAGGGAGAUUAGAGAGUAGAAGGCAGAGAACUGAGAGAAAGCCAAGGAAGGACACAAGAAGAGCGAAUAAGUUGAAUGAAAGGCUUAACAAUAAUUCAAGAAAAUGUAGUAUAAUAAGAAGAAAGGACCCUUAUAAUUGACGCCACUUUACAGCUGUGAGCGUGAACAUAAUGUUCAAGAGUGGAGUGUGGUCCAGCAAUAUAAACCCAUCUUGUCAGCAAAGAUUCUUUCUAAACAACUUUAGUCAAUAGUGG
rnacentral:lncRNA from 1 species